UUACCUGUUUAUUGUUAAAAACACGUCAAUUUAAGAUUAAAAUUUAGAUAUGAAGCCAAAAAAGAAGUUGGGAGUUGGCUUAAGCCGCGAGGAACGGAGUUUGAUUGUCAUUGGUGAAAUUAUACAGGAGCUUCUGAAAGCACACGAGGACAAGAAAGAUGUUAAUCUAAAUCGUCUUAAAGCACGGAUAUCGUCAAAGUAUGGAUUGGAGAGUUCACCACGUUUGGUAGACAUCAUUGCGGCUGUUCCCCAAGAUGCUAAAAAGAUAUUGCUGCCUAAACUGCGUGCUAAGCCCAUACGCACUGCUAGUGGCAUCGCCGUAGUCGCAGUCAUGUGCAAGCNUUGUCCACACAUCAACAUGACCGGAAACAUAUGCGUGUACUGUCCUGGUGGGCCGGACAGUGAUUUCGAGUACUCCACGCAAUCAUAUACAGGUUAUGAACCGACAUCUAUGCGCGCUAUACGUGCGCGUUACAAUCCCUAUCUGCAAACCCGACACCGCGUUGAACAGCUCAAACAAUUGGGACAUUCGGUGGAUAAAGUGGAAUUCAUCGUGAUGGGUGGCACAUUUAUGAGUUUGGAUGAGAAGUAUCGAAACGACUUUAUCAUGAAGCUGCAUGAUGCACUAAGUGGGCAUACAAGCCGUGACAUCAAGGAAGCUAUACGUUAUUCGGAAAUUUCACAUACCAAAUGCAUUGGAAUCACCAUUGAAACACGUCCGGAUUAUUGUCUCAAGCGGCAUAUCACAGAUAUGUUGAAUUACGGUUGUACGCGUUUGGAAAUCGGCGUACAAUCGGUGUAUGAAGAUGUUGCACGCGAUACUAAUCGCGGCCAUACUGUGAAGGCAGUGUGUGAAAGCUUUCAAUUGGGCAAGGAUUCGGGUUACAAAAUUGUGGCGCAUAUGAUGCCCGACUUGCCGAAUGUGGAUUUCGAACGUGAUUUGGAACAGUUUAUUGAAUACUUUGAAAAUCCAGCUUUCCGCUCGGAUGGCUUGAAAAUCUAUCCAACGCUUGUUAUACGCGGAACUGGCCUCUAUGAACUAUGGAAAACUGGACGCUACAAGUCUUAUCCACCAUCGAUGCUGGUCGAUCUGGUGGCAAAAAUAUUGGCACUCGUGCCACCAUGGACGCGUGUCUAUCGUGUGCAGCGCGAUAUACCAAUGCCGCUAGUGAGCUCUGGCGUGGAACACGGCAAUCUACGCGAGCUUGCCUUAGCUCGUAUGAAAGAUUGGGGUACGGAUUGUCGUGAUGUGCGUACACGGGAAGUUGGCAUUCAAGAAAUACACAAUAAAGUGCGCCCUUAUGAAAUCGAACUCAUACGACGCGACUACUUUGCCAACGGUGGUUGGGAGACGUUCCUCUCCUACGAAGAUCCAGAGCAGGAUAUACUGGUGGGACUGUUGCGUUUGCGUAAAUGCUCGCCAGAUACGUUCCAAAGCGAGCUGACUGAGGUUGGACAAUGUUCGAUUGUACGCGAAUUGCAUGUUUAUGGAUCGGUAGUGCCGGUCAAUGCAAGAGAUCCAACCAAGUUUCAGCAUCAGGGUUUCGGAAUGUUGCUAAUGGAAGAGGCAGCUCGUAUUGCACGCGAGGAGCAUGGCAGCGUAAAAUUGGCAGUUAUUUCUGGAGUGGGCACACGUGCCUACUACCGUAAACUAGGCUACGAAUUAGAUGGCCCAUACAUGUCUAAAAUGCUUAUAGACGUUAAAUAAAUCCAAACAGGUUUUUAAAAAGAAAUUCGUUGCGCCGAGGAAAGCUCCAUAUGUUGCAAUUCAUAAAAAAUAACACAACUUGUAAUAAAGUAUAUCGAACAUUUAAAUAUUAUAGUUACAAGAAAUCACAUACAUAAUUAUAGCCUUCUAUCCAGUCAAAAGAAAUAUGUACCAGACCUAUAU